UUUCAACCACUCGUUGACAAGGUCACCAGCAAGCUCCCUUCAUGGCAGGGAAGACACGUUGCCAGUGUUGGGCGUGUGGUUCUCGUUAAAGCGGUCCUCACGGCCAUCGCGAUUUAUCACCUCACACCUCUCGACAUCCCCGUGGAGGUGCUAAACGCAAUUGACAGCCUUCGGCGUGCAUACCUUUGGGCUGGAACGGGCAAAGUUUCGGGAGGAAAAUGCAAGAUUAAUUGGGAUCUUGUCUGCAAGCCUAAACAGUUUGGUGGAAUAGGCGUGCUCAAUCUGGACAAAUUCGCUAAGGCCCUCCGUCUUCGAUGGCUAUGGUUUGAGUGGGUGGACAAAAGCAAGCCUUGGAUAGGCAUGGGAUCUCCAUGCACCGAAGACGAUCAUAUCCUUUUUGCUGCUGCUACAACGGUUAAUGUGGGCAACAGGUGCACAGCCAGAUUCUGGAACUCGCCAUGGUUAAACGGCUUGUGUCCCCGUGACUUAGCACCAUGCAUCUUUGCCAUUUCACGCAACAAGAAUUUGUCUGUCCAGCAAAGCCUUACCAACAACAACUGGAUCUCUCUCAUUGACACCUUCAAUGACCUGUCGCUCGCACACGUCCAGCAGUUUGCUAACCUUUGGGAGAAGGUUUCCAUGGCCUCUUUGACUGAUGACAUAGAAGAUUCCAUCAUUUGA
rnacentral:rRNA from 1 species